AAUCCCGAUGCCAACAGUAGCAGAUUCGUGAAGGUUUCUUUGUUUCGGUGACACUUGGUGUUGACCCGUCCUUGUUCGGAGUUGGUUUCGAGUUACCCAUACCCGAACGGGACUAGAUUUGAGUUACCCGCCUCUAUUCGGAUUCAAAUAGACGUUACCCAUUGGUUUUUGACAACGGACCAGCAAGCGUGAAGCCUUUCGAACUUGGAUUUGGGAGCCCGAACCUCCUUUACAUCGACCCACUCAUAACCCAAGAGGUUUUAGUGUGAGAUAGUAGUUUUGCAGGUAUCGAGCUAGCUCUUGGGAUGGUGAUGGCGAGGAGGAGACUUGACUAGAGAGACCAUUUAACGUUGCGUCGUUAAGUUUCCAUUUGGAUAGGAUAGUUAUAGUUGUUUAUUUGUAACUGAGUAUGUUUUGAGAUUAUUAAAUUGGGUUGUUAAGUUCCAUUUUUUUUAAAAGGAUGUGAUAGGGCUGACAGUGCACUAUUCUUUUGAGAACAUACAUUUUAUUUAGCUACUUGAACUUUGGCGAUGUGAUCUAUUAAGGAUAUUUAUCAGGAUAAUACAUUUGUUCAAGCUGAA